UACGUAGGUGGCAAGCGUUGUCCCGGAUUUACUGGGCGUAAAGAGCGCGCAGGCGGUCGUUCAAGUCGCGUGUGAAAGCCCCCGGCUCAACUGGGGAGGGUCACGCGAUACUGAUCGACUCGAAGGCAGGAGAGGGUAGUGGAAUUCCUGGUGUAGCGGUGGAAUGCGCAGAUAUCAGGAGGAACACCGGUGGCGAAGGCGGGAUCCUGGGCCAGUACUGACGCUGAGGAGCGAAAGCGUGGGGAGCAAACAGG
rnacentral:rRNA from 1 species